ACUCCUGCGGGAGGCAGCAGUAGGGAAUCUUCGGCAAUGGGGGCAACCCUGACCGAGCAACGCCGCGAGAGUGAAGAAGGUUUUCGGAUCGUAAAGCUCUGUUGUAAGUCAAGAACGAGUGUGAGAGUGGAAAGUUCACACUGUGACGGUAGCUUACCAGAAAGGGACGGCUAACUACGUGCCAGCAGCCGCGGUAAUACGUAGGUCCCGAGCGUUGUCCGGAUUUAUUGGGCGUAAAGCGAGCGCAGGCGGUUUGAUAAGUCUGAAGUUAAAGGCUGUGGCUCAACCAUAGUUCGCUUUGGAAACUGUCAAACUUGAGUGCAGAAGGGGAGAGUGGAAUUCCAUGUGUAGCGGUGAAAUGCGUAGAUAUAUGGAGGAACACCGGUGGCGAAAGCGGCUCUCUGGUCUGUAACUGACGCUGAGGCUCGAAAGCGUGGGGCGCGAACAGGAUGAGAUACCCUAGUAGUCCCA
rnacentral:rRNA from 1 species